rnacentral:RNase_P_RNA from 1 species
GGUGCGGUAAGAGCGCACCAGCAGCAUCGUGAGGUGCUGGCUCGGUAAACCCCGGUGGGAAGCAAGGUCGCAGGGACUAGGGUUGGUCUUUUCCCCGUCCCGUUUUUGGAGAACCGCUUGAGACGUUUGGUAACAACCGUCCUAGAUAGAUAACUUCCCCCAGAGAGUUAAUUCUCGAUGGGAACAGAACCCGGCUUAUGUCCAACUCUGUCCU